CGUUAAAAUGUGCAGAUUGCAUUUUUGUUACAAAAUGAAAUAUUUUAUUGGAAAUCACUUCAGAACGCUAUUGAUAUACGUUAAUUAUAUUCGCCGGUACGAAUAAGGAUUUGGUGGGAUAAAAUUUUUAAUAGUAAGAAUCGGCAUUAGGUGAUAUACUUAUCAUGUUAUUGCAUAUGUAUUCAUGUUUUGGGUGAUUAUGGAGUAGAAUCCUGGUUAAUAAUACCUAGGGUCUAAUAAUAUUUAGCAAAUAAACCCGGACUUUUUUCGCAUGAA